AUGAACUUCCAGGAAGAUAAGGUGGUGGAUUUCAGGCAUCUGCAGUCUGCCAUUACAUAUCAGCAGGAGGUAAGAAAAGAACUUACUGAUGAUAUGAAGGCAAAGAUGGCAACUGAGAUGGCAAAGAAAGAUGCAGAGACCCAGCAACUUAUUCAGAAGUAUGAGGUGCUGCUCAACCUGACAAGAGCUCAAGCAACAGUCAUUCAGAACUUGAAGUUGAACAAAAUGAAAGAGAAGCAAGUGCUUACUGAAGCUAGUAUGAAUUUGGAGCUGAAGAAUGCAGAGCUAACUAAGUGUCAGGAGAAGCUCACCCAAGAGAAGCUAGAGUUGAAGCUUCAGGUUGUUGAUCUGCUUAAGGGAAAUAAAAAGCAUAUUGAAGAGAAGUGGCAGUUAGAGUUUCAGAAUGAAAAGUUGAAGGAGAAGUUCAGGGGGAUUCAAGCCAUCUUAGAGAAGUGA
rnacentral:rRNA from 1 species